rnacentral:rRNA from 1 species
AUGCAAGUCGCGGGAGAAAGCCCUUUCGGUGGGCGGAGACCGGCGCACGGGUGAGUAACACGUAGCUAAUCUACCCUAAAGAGGGGAAUAACCAGUGGAAACAGUGGCUAAUGCCCCAUACGCUCAUAGACUGUAGCGGGCAGUGAGAAAAGCUUAAGGUGCUUAGGGAUGGGGCUGCGAACCAUCAGCUAGAUGGUGGGGUAAUGGCCUACCAUGGCAACGACGGAUAGGGGACCUGAGAGGGUGACCCCCCACACUGGGACUGAGACACGGCCCAGACUCCUACGGGAGGCAGCAGUGAGGAAUAUUGCACAAUGGGCGCAAGCCUGAUGCAGCGACGCCGCGUGGGUGAAGACGGUUUUCGGAUCGUAAAGCCCUUUUCUGUGUGACGAGAGUGGACGGUAGCACAGGAAUAAGUGUCGGCUAACUACGUGCCAGCAGCCGCGGUAAAACGUAGGACGCAAGCGUUAUCCGGAGUUACUGGGCGUAAAGCGCGUGCAGGCGGAUUGUUAAGUUACUUAUGAAAGCUCUUGGCUAAACUAGGAGAGGUUGAGUGAAACUGGCAAUCUAGAGUGGAGGAGAGGAAGGCGGAAUUCCGCGUGUAGUGGUGAAAUGCGUAAUUGCGGAGGAACACCCAGUGGGCGAAGGCGGUUUACUGGCAUCCGAAACUGACGCUGAGACGCGAAAGCGUGGGGAGCGAACGGGAUUAGAACCCCCGGUAGUCCACGCCGUAAACGAUGCACACUAUAAACCGUUUCGUUAUCCGCGAAGGCUUGUGAAGUGUUUGAAGCCAACGCGAUAAGUGUGCCGCCUUGGGGAGUACGUUCGCAAGGCUUAAAACUCAAAGGAAUUGACGGGGGCCCGCAACAAGCAGCGGAGCGUGUGGUUUUAAUUCGAGGAUACGCGAAGAACCUUACCUGGGUUUGACAUAGUGGUAGUACUCAAGGUGCUGAAAGGCCUCUGACCCGCAAGGGAGCAUUAACAGGUGCUGCAUGGUUGUCGUCAGCUCGUGCCGUGAGGUGUUCGGUUAAGUCCGCAAACGAGCGCAACCCUUGCCGUUAGUUACAAGUGUCUAACGGGACUGCCCGUGGCAAACGGGAGGAAGGUAGGGAUGACGUCAAAUCAGCAUGGCCUUUAUAUCUAGGGCGACACACACGCUACAAUGGUACGUACAAUGGGUCGCGAAGUCGCGAGGCGGAGCCAAUCCUGAAAAGCGUAUCACAGUUCGGAUUGCAGGCUGCAACUCGCCUGCAUGAAGUCGGAGUUGCUAGUAACCGCGUAUCAGCACGGCGCGGUGAAUACGUUCCCGGGCCUUGUACACACCGCCCGUCACGUCAUGGAAGUUGGUUACGCCUGAAGUCGGGAAGCUAACCGCAAGGGGGCUACCGCCGAAGGCAGGACUGAUGACUGGGACGAAGUCGUAACAAGGUAGCUGUAGCGGAAGCUGCGGCUGGAUCACCUCCU